rnacentral:rRNA from 1 species
ACUCCUACGGGAGGCAGCAGUGGGAAGUACUUGGACAAUGGGGGCAACCCUGAUCCAGCCAUGCCGCGUGAGUGAUGAAGGCCUUAGGGUCGUAAAGCUCUUUCGCCUGUGAAGAUAAUGACGGUAGCAGGUAAAGAAACCCCGGCUAACUCCGUGCCAGCAGCCGCGGUAAUACGGAGGGGUUAGCGUUGUUCGGAAUUACUGGGCGUAAAGCGCACGUAGGCGGAUCGGAAAGUUGGGGUGAAAUCCCGGGGCUCAACCCCGGAACGGCCUCCAAAACUAUCGGUCUAGAGUUCGAGAGAGGUGAGUGGAAUUCCGAGUGUAGAGGUGAAAUUCGUAGAUAUUCGGAGGAACACCAGUGGCGAAGGCGGCUCACUGGCUCGAUACUGACGCUGAGGUGCGAAAGUGUGGGGAGCAAACAGGAUUAGAUACCCUGGUAGCUCGAUGU